rfam:Schistosoma mansoni, Puerto Rico, WGS project CABG01000000 data, contig: 0041
GCACUGCUGAGGAGUCCCAUAACAGGACGAAAUGGCCGUCCAGUGC